AGUGAACGCUGGCGGUAGGCCUGACACAUGCAAGUCGAACGGCAGCACAGGAGAGCUUGCUCUCUGGGUGGCGAGUGGCGGACGGGUGAGGAAUACAUCGGAAUCUACUCUGUCGUGAGGGAUAACGUAGGGAAACUUACGCUAAUACCGCAUACGACCUACGGGUGAAAGCAGGGGAUCUUCGGACCUUGCACGAUUUAAUGAGCCGAGGUCGGAUUAGCUAGUUGGCGGGGUAAAGGCCCACCAAGGCGACGAUCCGUAGCUGGUCUGAGAUGAUGAUCAGCCACACUGGAACUGAGACACGGUCCAGACUCCUACGGGAGGCAGCAGUGGGGAAUAUUGGACAAUGGGCGCAAGCCUGAUCCAGCCAUACCGCGUGGGUGAAGAAGGCCUUCGGGUUGUAAAGCCCUUUUGUUGGGAAAGAAAUCCAGCUGGCUAAUACCCGGUUGGGAUGACGGUACCCAAAGAAUAAGCACCGGCUAACUUCGUGCCAGCCGCCGCAGUAA
rnacentral:rRNA from 1 species